AGCAGGGCUGGCCCUGUCUCUCUGCUCCUGAGCUGAAGCAACAAGGGCUGGCAUACUGCACGCCCCAGGCAAACGUCAGCUGGGGUCUGGGGCCAGGGAAGAGGGUUAAACUCACCUUCCCCUAAGUACAGAGCUGCCUUACCAGCUUACUUAGUGCCUGCUGUGACUGUGGACUACAAAUCCCAGAGGCACCUUGAAGCAGGAAGAAGAAGUGAUGAGCAACCCUAUACAGUCUUACUGCUCUUGCUCUGAACUGCAAAUCCCAGAGACCUCCGAGGCAGCAGGAAGAGACAGUGAAUUCCUGGAGACCUGAGAAUCUUGCUUUGCAAUUGAAAUUGGACCUGCUCAAAUGUACUGUUAUGCUGGGAGCUGUAAAAAGCAUCCAUGGAAGAAGAUCAAAGACCGCUGGUGGAGAAAGAAUAAAGCAAAAGAAAAAAAAAGAUGCCAAGAAGCCCUUUAUAUCUGUCAAUCACAAAACACUUAAAGAAAAAAAGAAAAACUAUGAAAACAGCUUGUAAGUAAGGUCAGCAAUAAUCCCAUGAGGAUAAUGUCAAGAAAGUAGUACAAUUCUAAGAUUAUGUGAACAAUAUCUUUUAAGUAAGACUAGCAUUAUUCAGAUAAUGCCUCAUCACAAACAUACACAUAAUGUUGCUAUGUUGGUUUCAGAUGAGAGAGGAAAUGGAAUUCCAUGUUUGACUCAAAUAAGCAGAGAAGGAAAGAUGAUCUAUUACCAUAAAACAAACCUGAUGAAUAAUGUAGAAGGGAGGGAUCAUCCAUUUGGACUUGUAAACCCCAGGUAUAGUUCUCUGCUCCUCAGCAGACUUCCCAUUUGAACUUCUUUAUGUUACUUAUUCUCUCUCCUCUUUAUCUGUAAAUUGGGGAUAACAGCUCUUCCCUAUCUUAUAGGAUUUUGUGAGGAUAAACUUGGUCAAUGUUAUGAGGUUUUCAGAUACUAAGGUGAUGGGUAAAGUAAGUAUAACUCUUUCUAAGUAAGAUAGAUAUAUAGAAAGAUCAGUGUCAAAAAGAAAGAAAAUACAGAAAUGGCUAAAUUCAUCUAGCACCACAGAACAGGAAGAGAGGAGAAAAAGCACCUUAAGAUUCCCUUUUAUAUCAUGGAACUGAUUUGGUGAUCGCGGUCUCCAGGUUCCCUUUUCCUCCUCCCCCUUCUGCUUCGUGCCCUCUGCCAUGAAUAACUCAUACCCCCGGUAGCUGGGGUAACACAGCGGCGCUGGCAGUGGCGGGAGCAUGGUGGCAGCAGAGGGAGCAUGGUGGUGGUAAGCAAGGAGCUCCCACAGAUGCCGCUGGCAUUGUUGGUGGUGGGGGGGAUGGCAAAUACUGACCAGGGGUCGGCGACCAGUCAGCAGUGCCUUUUUGUAUGGGGUACACUGCUACACUCAGGGGUGAAAGUGCACCCGCGUGCACCCCCUAUGCGUGGCCAAUGCCCUACACUCUUGGGAGUACGGUGAUAGGAGUGUGCUACAUGUGCAAAGUGGGAAAGCUAGGCAGCCUGGCUCUAUCCAUGGCAAGGGAGGGCCCAGAUUGUCCAUACUGCACAUGUGGCCAGGUAAAGGCUGCAUUGUUUGUCUUUUGCAUGAGGCUAGGAAAGCUCAUGGUACAUGCAUGGUGGGAUGCCAAGCUACUCACACUAUACAUGCAAGAGAGAAGGGGAGAUGAAACGCCUGAGCUAUGUGCAUGGUGAGGGAAGGGGAGCUGCCCUGGUUGCCUGCACAGCAUGAAGGACUCUAAGAUCUGCAGCUUGCGUGGUGUACAUCCCCCUGCCAUCCAGAAGUUGGAACACGCUGAAUGAACAUGCUAUUUCACCAGUAACCUUAGCCCUUAACAGUAUAAUUCAACUACUCAAUUUGCAAGUACCUGUUUUGUUGUGUUAAUAUAUUUUAGAAUCAUGUAUUAUUAUUUUGAAUAAUAUAGGUCUUAGUCAUGUAUUUAUUGUAGGAAGUCCAAAUCAUUUAGGACCUCAAUUUUCCUGUUUGAAUAGUAAAAAAUAAACUAAUCCAAUGCAUGUA